rnacentral:rRNA from 1 species
AUUAAACGCUGGCGGCAUGCUUUACACAUGCAAGUCGAACGGUAACAGGCCGCAAGGUGCUGACGAGUGGCGAACGGGUGAGUAAUGCAUCGGAACGUGCCCAGUCGUGGGGGAUAACUACUCGAAAGAGUAGCUAAUACCGCAUACGAUCUAUGGAUGAAAGCGGGGGACCGUAAGGCCUCGCGCGAUUUGAGCGGCCGAUGUCAGAUUAGGUAGUUGGUGGGGUAAAGGCUCACCAAGCCAACGAUCUGUAGCUGGUCUGAGAGGACAACCAGCCACACUGGGACUGAGACACGGCCCAGACUCCUACGGGAGGCAGCAGUGGGGAAUUUUGGACAAUGGGCGCAAGCCUGAUCCAGCAAUGCCGCGUGCAGGAAGAAGGCCUUCGGGUUGUAAACUGCUUUUGUACGGAACGAAACGGCUCUGGUUAAUACCCGGGGCUAAUGACGGUACCGUAAGAAUAAGCACCGGCUAACUACGUG